rnacentral:lncRNA from 10 species
GGCAGCUCCGGAUGUGGGCCCUGCAAGUCCACCGCUGGCCCAGCAGGAUCAGUGCCGGGAGCAGCUGCCGCCCGGGGCCCGUCACCGUGUUUAUUCAACUCCCCCUUUGCGUAGCCCUGUGAGGCCGGAGGCCGUGAGCCCUUUCUUGGCUUCCGUGGCAUGAAAACGCUGGAUUUGCCCAACACGGAAACACACUGCCUUCCCAUCUUCCCAUCUGAUUCCUAGCUUCUCUGGGAACCCACCCAGGCUCCCUAAGCCCCCACUAAGCCUCUUUUGCUGACCUCCACCCUGAGACCCCCGCUCAGACCAGCAGAAGGCCCAGUGCCACACUCGGCCUGCAGGGCUGACACAGCCGCUGCAAACCUCCCUCCAGACCCAGUUACUGGUCCUGCAACUUGCAACCUCCACGCUCUAAGCUCCUGGUCCCCCAAGCUCUCCAGCCCUGCAACCACAUCUGUUCCGUGUGCUGGGCGGGCAGGGGCUGGGCAUCCCUCAGCCUCUGGGCACCAGCUUCACACACCCACUCUCCAGGAGCAGCCAGGACCACCCCUGAACCUUGCCCAAGCAGCCCGCCCAGGUGGGUGGGUGCAGGCAGCUGCAGGGCAGGCAGCAGAAAGCCUCAGCCUUUGUCAGGCCCAAAACAUGCCGAGAGGAGUAACAGGCUCAGAGAAGGCUCAGGUCAGUGCCCACUCUCUUCUGUGUGGCUCUGAGGCACGGGGUCGGCCCCAGCCACCUUCCAAGUUCCCAGUCCGGCUGACAGCCUCAGGCCCUGUCCAGCCCAUGCCCCGAGCCACCCAACACCCACUGCGGUCUCAGCAGACCCGUCCUCGCAUGUGAAAUCCCAGUACUGGACGCACCCCUGCUGUGACCACCAGAGCCCAGGGUGCACCUGCUCUCGGAAAACCCAACCCCGUCAGGCACAGACAGGAGCCAGGAGAGGGUGAGGGUGGAGGUGGGGGCGAUCUUUAUUGUGGCGGUGGGUGGGAGGGGGGUUCCCACGUGAGCCCUGGUGCUAUAGAGAGCCGGCCGUCCUCCAGGGGUGAGCUGGGGAGGCUUCUGCGGUUCUGGAGUCCCGGCGAUGGCGCCAGUUCCCCAGCAAACCCCCUCCAGAGCUGCCCCCGGAUGCACAGACAAGGAGGGGGCUUGGGAGUGACUUGAGGCUGUGACGGGGUCGCCCUCGGUGUGGGCAAGUGAGUCCUCUGUGGCCAAGAGGUCAGAGUCGUCCCUGAGGCUGAGUCGAACACAGACCCGUGGCCCUCAUAAAAUUAAACAUAAAAGCACAAAAAUGGCGCAACCAGACAGCAUUGGCUUCAGACAGGCAGGACACGGGGCCCCUCGUGUGACCUGUGACUUUCCACAAAGGGCAAGGACCUGGCACUGACUCCGGCCAGUGGAGAAGGCUGUGCCGCCCACCCGGCCAUGACUCAGACCCAGAGGCUGAAAGCCACAGACGGGGCCGCAGGGCAGCAGCUCCCGGGCUCUCGUGAAACACUUCAGAAGGAAAAAAACCUAAGGAACAGAAUCCUGAAUGGAGAAAACCCAACUUUUUUAAAAAAGAAGGAAGUGUAUGAUGGGAAUCUACGGGGUGGGUUUUCUUUAAGAGACGUGGAGCAGGGAGCGUCCUCGGGCCACCUGUGGACAGGGAGGGGCGCUCAGACUGGACCCACCUCCCAGCGACCCACAGGCGGGACCCAGGAGCCCACACCUGGCUAGCAGAUCCCGCCCACCACACCUGGCUCAGGAGUUCCCGCCCACCCACCCACCACACCUGGCUCAGGAGGAGCUCCCGCCCACCGCACCUGCCUCAGGAAGAGUUCCUCUGGCGGACGUUCUUGCCUUUGUCAUUCUGGUGCUGCCCGCUGCUCUUCCUGGGGCACGAGGGGCCGGGUGAGAGGGUGUCCCCCGCAAGUCACUCUCUCCAAGUCACCCCUGCCCACCCCGGCCCCCAGGAC